UUACACCUAUUUCUGUAUAUUGGGUACGAGAUGACUUUGGAUAGGUACCAGUUGACCAAAAACAGGUAUAAGUUGACCAAAAUUGGUUUGAGUUGAUCACAGUAUGUGUUGAAAAGUUACCUAAUAGGUGUCUUCAAACAGACACAUUUAAUGAAGAUUUUUCUUGUAUAGACUUAAAUGGUAGAUCGAUCUUAUUUUUCUUUGCAUCUAUAAUGUAUAGCUCAGUGACCCAGUUAAUGUUUACGGUUUGUAACUCAGGGGUCCUGGGUUCGAUCCUCACGUGCGGUGCUGAUUUUUUUUCAUGGGAGUUUCCUCUGGCCAGACUGCAGAGCCCUAGCCUAAUAUGAGCCAACAGCAAAGAGCAGCUGCUCUUUUAAGGCAGGCAGCAGAUUUGUUGAAUGUCAACCCAUGUGACAGGAGUACACAAUACCAGCACCUGCACCAGUAACCUCUGUCAGUAGUACUAGUGCUGCAAAGGCAAUGUUUGCACCCGACAGUAAAAGAAGGAGGCAUGGACAUGCAAAUACAGGAACUGUGGCAGUGUCAGCACUGGACCAUUACACCGAGGUGUAAUCAGGUUCCUGCUUACAACUAAUGACCACCUGUUGAAGGAGCUAGACGUUACCAGGGAGAGACACCAGCACAAAGGUGAAUCAGAUUAACUGGAGCUACAAGCAGCUUAAGAAAAAGCUUUAGGGACCAGUCUAAAUGUUCUGAUAAUGAUAAUAGUUUGUUAUGUGUUUUAUUGCUAAGAAUUUUGGCUACUCGGUAUUCAAUAUCUAAAGUGGUAUUUUAUUAAGAUUUAGAAAACAAUAAGGCCAAUCUUAAUAAGAAAUAUUCUGCUGGAACAUAUUGAACUGUUUAUUUAAUCAUGCAGCAAUUUGUUUUUUGCCAUUUGAUCAUUUGGCAUGCUUAAGCUCAACAUAAUAUUAGAGAAAUUGAUUUAUUUCACAUUAUUUUACUUAUCUUGCAAUGAUUUUACAAGCAUCUUUUUCACACAUCUUGUAGAUUGGUAAGCAGAUAUGUUCUUGCUAGAUUUCGAUGGUGUAGUUUUUUAGUUAAAAUGUCUUGCCUUUCUAUUUUGUUGUGCUGACAUUUAGACAUUAUUUAUAAUUUGUUUGCAGUGAACAGCCUAGGUUUAAUAGACCUGGUACAUGUAUUCAAUCAAAGUGAGCCGCGUUCUGGAGAAAUUGGCUUUAUGCAUGUGUGUGAAAUGUCGUCCCAGAUUAGCUUAUGUGGUCCACAUAUGCUUAUCUGGAACAACACUUUCGGCCUUGACUGGAUUUGCUUUUUCAAAAUACUUUCUUUGAACGAAAAAUCUCAU